rnacentral:rRNA from 1 species
UACGGGGGGGGCAAGCGUUGUUCGGAAUUAUUGGGCGUAAAGGGCUCGUAGGCGGCCAACUAAGUCAGACGUGAAAUCCCUCGGCUUAACCGGGGAACUGCGUCUGAUACUGGAUGGCUUGAGUUUGGGAGAGGGAUGCGGAAUUCCAGGUGUAGCGGUGAAAUGCGUAGAUAUUGGGAGGAACACCAGUGGCGAAGGCGGCUCACUGGACCGGAGCUGACGCUGAGGCGCGAAAGCGUGGGGAGCAAACGGG